rnacentral:sRNA from 2 species
CGCAAGUCACCGCCUAAUCGGGCACUCGUCAGAGUGGCCGUACCGGGAACCCGAUUUCUACUGGGGUGAAUCCCGCCGGAUCGCAACUAUGCGAACGGUGGGUAGGGCUGAUCUUCCCAGCCCGAACCCGUCAGCUAACUCGGUCGGCGGAUGAGUGGAAGA